rnacentral:rRNA from 1 species
GACGAACGCUGGCGGCGUGCUUAACACAUGCAAGUCGAGCGGAGCGGCGAACGGGUGAGUAACGCGUGAGUAACUGCCCCCCUCUCUGGGAUAACAGUUGGAAACGGCUGCUAAUACCGGAUAGUGGGCGAUGUCUCGCGUCCGAUCAGCUUGUUGGGGGGGUAGUGGCCUACCAAGGCGGCGACGGAUAGCCGGCCUGAGAGGGCGACCGGCCACAUUGGGCUGAGAUACGGCCCAAAGUGCAACGGGAGGCAGCAGUGGAGAAUAUUGCACAAUGGGGGAAACCCUGAUGAAGAAACGCCGCGUGCGGAAUGACGGCCUUCGGGUUGUAAACCGCUUUGAGCCAUGACGCGGUAGUGGCAGAAAAAGCACCGGCUAACUACGUGCCAGCAGCCGCGGUAAUAC